AUUUAUAUAGUUUAAAUAAAACAUUACAUUUUCAUUGUAAAAAUAAAAUAACAAUUUUUAUAAAUA
rnacentral:tRNA from 1 species